rnacentral:rRNA from 1 species
GAUGAACGCUAGCUACAGGCUUAACACAUGCAAGUCGAGGGGAAACGAUAGAGAAAGCUUGCUUUUUCUAGGCGUCGACCGGCGCACGGGUGAGUAACGCGUAUCCAACCUGCCCACCACUUGGGGAUAACCUUGCGAAAGUAAGACUAAUACCCAAUGAUAUCUCAAGAAGACAUCUGAAAGAGAUUAAAGAUUUAUCGGUGAUGGAUGGGGAUGCGUCUGAUUAGCUUGUUGGCGGGGUAACGGCCCACCAAGGCGACGAUCAGUAGGGGUUCUGAGAGGAAGGUCCCCCACAUUGGAACUGAGACACUGUCCAAACUCCUACGGGAGGCAGCAGUGAGGAAUAGUGGUCAAUGGGCGAGAGCCUGAACCAGCCAAGUAGCGUGCAGGAUGACGGCCCUAUGGGUUGUAAACUGCUUUUAUAAGGGAAUAAAGUGAGUCUCGUGAGGCUUUUUGCAUGUACCUUAUGAAUAAGGACCGGCUAAUUCCGUGCCAGCCGCCGCCGUAA